rnacentral:rRNA from 1 species
AUUGAACGCUGGCGGCAUGCCUUACACAUGCAAGUCGAACGGCAGCGCGGGAGCAAUCCUGGCGGCGAGUGGCGAACGGGUGAGUAAUAUAUCGGAACGUGCCCAGUAGUGGGGGAUAGCCCGGCGAAAGCCGGAUUAAUACCGCAUGAGACCUGAGGGUGAAAGCGGGGGAUCGCAAGACCUCGCGCUACUGGAGCGGCCGAUAUCAGAUUAGCUAGUUGGUGGGGUAAAGGCCUACCAAGGCAACGAUCUGUAGUUGGUCUGAGAGGACGACCAGCCACACUGGGACUGAGACACGGCCCAGACUCCUACGGGAGGCAGCAGUGGGGAAUUUUGGACAAUGGGCGCAAGCCUGAUCCAGCAAUGCCGCGUGCAGGAAGAAGGCCUGGUGUAAGACUCUUCUAGCAGGAACGAAACGGUAGGCCGACUAAUAACUGGCGUACUAAUAGACGGUAACCGUCG